CUACCCGCCCCCAGGUGGCAUACAUACUUUAAGGCUAGGCAGGCUAAGUUGAAUACUACUCUACAAUAGGUGGCGUUAAUGGACUACGAAAAACGACGUGAAAUGAUUACUUCUUUUUAUUUAUUUAUACUUUAAUGCCAAAAUUUUAACCUAAGGCGAACUUAAUCUCACAUUUAAUAAAUUAUACAUAAAUAAGUGUUUUGAGAAGUAGUAUUUUAAUCUAUGUUCUGUGAAUGACAAGUGUUAUCUGUCAAGUGUCAAAAAACUUGAAAAACUUUUACGAAAUUUUUGAAUUAUGUUAAAUUUGUUUUUAAACACAAUGCCAAAGGCAAGAAUAAUUGCCCACGCCAGAUGGAGACCCAGCUAAAUAAUGUAGUAACAGCGCGUGGUCGUGUGAUGAGGGUUCCUUGACUUGAGUUCUGGCGCAACACGU